AUUGAACGCUGGCGGCAUGCUUUACACAUGCAAGUCGAACGGUAACAGGCCUUCGGGUGCUGACGAGUGGCGAACGGGUGAGUAAUGCAUCGGAACGUGCCCAGAGGUGGGGGAUAACGCAGCGAAAGCUGUGCUAAUACCGCAUGUGAUCUGAGGAUGAAAGCGGGGGACCAGGCAGCAAUGUUUGGCCUCGCGCCUUUGGAGCGGCCGAUGUCAGAUUAGGUAGUUGGUGGGGUAAAGGCCUACCAAGCCGACGAUCUGUAGCUGGUCUGAGAGGACGAACAGCCACCAUGGGACUGAGACACGGCCCAGACUCCUACGGGAGGCAGCAGUGGGGAAUUUUGGACAAUGGGCGCAAGCCUGAUCCAGCAAUGCCGCGUGCGGGAAGAAGGCCUUCGGGUUGUAAACCGCUUUUGUACGGAACGAAAAGGCUCUGGCUAAUACCUGGGGCUGAUGACGGUACCGUAAGAAUAAGCACCGGCUAACUACGUG
rnacentral:rRNA from 1 species